UACGUAGGGUGCGAGCGUUAAUCGGAAUUACUGGGCGUAAAGCGUGCGCAGGCGGUAAUGCAAGACAGAUGUGAAAUCCCCGGGCUUAACCUGGGAACUGCAUUUGUGACUGCAUUGCUGGAGUGCGGCAGAGGGGGAUGGAAUUCCGCGUGUAGCAGUGAAAUGCGUAGAUAUGCGGAGGAACACCGAUUGCGAAGGCAGGUGGCUACGAUUUAUUUGACACUGAGGCACGAAAGCAUGGGGAGCAAACAGG
rnacentral:rRNA from 1 species